rnacentral:misc_RNA from 1 species
UUUCCGGAUUAGGUCGGAGUGAUUUUUUGCACCAAGCUUUUGUCGCAGCGAGGUGGUCGAGUUUGCGAUGGUUUUGUAAGAAAGUGCGAGCGCAUCGGCCACUUCGGCGAUGCUGUUGCCACGGGCCAAUAAUCGCAAAAUUUCGAUGUCUCGCCCACCCAGUACAUUGAGCGGAUUCGCCCGGAUGGAAGCAGCAGAGAAGGUUACAUCCUUGGCGAGCCUUGGCGAAAUGAAAGAUCCGCCAUUUCCGACCGUCACCACA